GACGAACGCUGGCGGCGUGCCUAAUACAUGCCAGUAGAACGCUGAAGGAGGAGCUUGCUUCUCUGGAUGAGUUGCGAACGGGUGAGUAACGCGUAGGUAACCUGCCUGGUAGCGGGGGAUAACUAUUGGAAACGAUAGCUAAUACCGCAUAAGAGUAGAUGUUGCAUGACAUUUGCUUAAAAGGUGCAAUUGCAUCACUACCAGAUGGACCUGCGUUGUAUUAGCUAGUUGGUGGGGUAACGGCUCACCAAGGCGACGAUACAUAGCCGACCUGAGAGGGUGAUCGGCCACACUGGGACUGAGACACGGCCCAGACUCCUACGGGGGGCAGCAGUAGGGAAUCUUCGGCAAUGGACGGAAGUCUGACCGAGCAACGCCGCGUGAGUGAAGAAGGUUUUCGGAUCGGAAAGCUCUGUUGUAAGAGAAGAACGAGUGUGAGAGUGGAAAGUUCACACUGUGACGGUAUCUUACCAGAAAGGGACGGCUAACUACGUG
rnacentral:rRNA from 1 species